rnacentral:rRNA from 1 species
UACGGAAGGCAGCAGUGGGGAAUAUUGCACAAUGGGCGCAAGCCUGAUGCAGCCAUGCCGCGUGUAUGAAAAAGGCCUUCGGGUUGUAAAGUACUUUCAGUCGUGAGGAAGGUGUUAAGGUUAAUAACCUUAGCAAUUGACGUUAGCGACAGAAGAAGCACCGGCUAACUCCGUGCCAGCAGCCGCGGUAAUACGGAGGGUGCGAGCGUUAAUCAGAAUUACUGGGCGUAAAGGGCACGCAGGCGGUUAAUUAAGUUGGAUGUGAAAUCCCCGGGCUUAACCUGGGAAUGGCAUUCAAGACUGGUUAGCUAGAGUCUUGUAGAGGGGGUAGAAUUCCAUGUGUAGCGGUGAAAUGCGUAGAGAUGUGGAGGAAUACCGGUGGCGAAGGCGGCCCCUGGACAAAGACUGACGCUCAUGUGCGAAAGCGUGGGGAGCAAAC